rnacentral:rRNA from 1 species
UACGUAGGGUGCAAGCGUUAAUCGGAAUUACUGGGCGUAAAGCGUGCGCAGGCGGUUAUGUAAGACAGUUGUGAAAUCCCCGGGCUCAACCUGGGAAUUGCAUUCGAGACUGCAUUGCUGGAGUACGGAAGAGGAGAGUGGAAUUCCUGGUGUAGCGGUGAAAUGCGCAGAUAUCAGGAAGAACACCCGUGGCGGAAGGCGGCUCUCUGGGACGGUACUGACGCUGAGGAGCGAAAGCGUGGGUAGCGAACAGG